GCUGGGCAUGGUGGUGCAAGCCUGUAAUCCCAGAUACUCGGGAGGCGGAAGCAGGAGAAUCACUUGAACCUGGGAGGUGGAGGUUGCGGUGAGCCGAGAUUGUGCCACUGCACUCCAGCCUGGGCAACAAGAGUGAAACUUCAUCUAAAAAAUAUAUAUAUAUACACAAACAAUACAUGCUCAUAGAGUAUUGUAUAUUUUGGGCUCUGUCGCCCAGGCUGGAGUGCAUUGUCACGAUCUUGGCUCACUGCAACCUCUGUCUCCCGGGUUCAAACGAUUUUU
rnacentral:lncRNA from 1 species